GGACGACGCUGGCGGCGCGCCUAACACAUGCAAGUCGAACGGAACUGUUCGGACGAAGUUUCGGAUGGAUGAAGAACAGUUAGUGGCGGACGGGUGAGUAACACGUGAGCAACCUGCCUUUCAGGGGGGAAUAACAUUCGGAAACGAAUGCUAAUACCGCAUAAUGCAAUGAGAUGGCAUCAUCUUGUUGCCAAAGAUUUAUCGCUGAAAGAUGGGCUCGCGCCCGAUUAGCUAGUUGGUGAGGUAAUGGCCCACCAAGGCAACGAUCGGUAGCCGGACUGAGAGGUUGAUCGGCCACAUGGGACUGAGACACGGCCCAGACUCCUACGGGAGGCAGCAGUGGGGGAUAUUGCACAAUGGGCGAAAGCCUGAUGCAGCGACGCCGCGUGAGGGAAGACGGUUUUCGGAUUGUAAACCUCUGUCUUCAGGGACGAUAAUGACGGUACCUGAGGAGGAAGCACCGGCUAACUACGUGCCAGCCGCCGC
rnacentral:rRNA from 1 species